rnacentral:lncRNA from 1 species
GCAGAAUACUACUUCUAUAAGAAGUCGGAUCACUGAAAGAGAAAUUGUCCUCAGUAUAUAGCCACCUUAACCCUAACAGGCCGAACAAGAGAAAGUAGCAAUCUGUUGCUGGACAAGGUACUUAUAUGGUAACUCUUAAUUUUUCUGUUUGUGAUAUUACUAUCUGAGUAUUGGAUACCGAAAGUCCAAUUAACAUUUGUAAUUUGUUGCAAGGACUUCAAGUC